CAGCUCAACCCUCACCCUGCAGCUCUGCAAAGGAGCUCAGCCCUGGUGCCUAUUCAGUGAUCAGCAGUGAGCACAGAAGGCUCACCAUGGAGUUUGGGCUCGGUUGGGUUUUCCUGUUUACUCUUCUGAGAGGUGUCCAGGCUGAGGAGCAGCUGGUGGAGUCCGGGGGAGGCUUGGUGCAGCCUGGGGGUUCCCUGAAACUCUCCUGCAUGGCCUCAGGAUUCACCUUCAGUAGCUAUGCGAUGAGCUGGAUCCGCCAGGCUCCAGGGAAGGGGCUGGAGUGGAUCUCAGCUAUUGGUAGCAGUGGUUCUAACACAUACUACGCAGGCUCCGUGAAGGGCCGAUUCACCAUCUCCAGAGACAACGGCAAGAACACGCUGUAUCUGCAGAUGAGCAGCCUGAGACCGGAGGACACGGCUGUGUAUUACUGUGCAAGAGGCACAGUGAGGAAACAUCAGUGUGAGCCCAGACAAAAACCUCCCUGUAGGGGUGCUUAUGUCCAAAUGAGGACGCUAUUGUCCCUGGAGAGCAAGCAGGGCCCUUAGGUGCAGGUGCACAGAAGGAAGCAGAGUAGGGAGGGCUUCCUGAGGCAUCUGGGUUUUCUCUUCUGUAUUAACUUCUUAGGUCCUGAACCACCCCCAAUGAAAUGCCCAAGUUCAAGGAAAUAUUCUCUGUUAAAUGUAAUUGCAUGAGUAUAUACGAAGCACUGACUUUUUAAAUUUUCUGUUUAUGAAUUUUACUUGUUGGUAAACAAAACUUGCACCUAUCUCCACACAA